rnacentral:lncRNA from 1 species
GGUCAACGGUUUGAUUUUCAAGAUUGAUGGGGUUUUCUUCUAGUUGGUGACUUGAUCUUUAAGGAUUUAAUUCAAGGGUGGUGAAUCGGCAUGUGCAGCCCACAACGCCUAGCGAGUCGCCCAAGAAUUUGAGGGUCAAAACUAGUCCACUACCCAGAGUGAUUGCAACCUUGAUGAUAUGAGAUACUUUUGAUUUUGAAGAAGUAGCGGAUGAAUCGGCAUGUGCUUUGUUGUGCUUGUCUUCACAUGCUUCAAUGCAUCAUUUUCCCUUGCUUUAUCUGUUAUUCUAGCAGAUGUGGUAUCUUCUCUUGAAGCAAAAGAUGUUGAGACAAUGGGUACUUCGAGAGCAGUGCUAGGUAAGCAAUCAAGAAAGGGUUCCAGGCAGUUGGUUCUAGAUCGAAAAUUGAUACCAAGUGCUGGCUGAUUACUUUCUUUCUCCUUGUCCUGCAUGUAAGAACAAGGAUAAAGAAAAGGACAGGGAGAAAACAUGAUAUGAAAUACUCUUGCUUUCGAAGAAGUGGUGGCGAUUUGACAGCGUUGCACAAUGAGGCUUUGCUCUUCGAUGAUGGUGCCGUCAAUAUGUUGUUGAAGCUUCUCGAGCUCUUGGAUUCAACUCAAACUCCUUCUGCUGGGUUGGUUGAUUGUGCAGGGAAUGGGAGACUUGAUCUUGAAGGAAAUCAGCAUGUUGUCUCCACAUGCUUUAAGGUAUCAUUUUCACUUGA